GCUCCUCUCUGGAUCGGAGGCAGCCGUAUAUCGCAGCCAUUGCGUCGUGACGAAUGCACGGUGCCAAGUGGGCCACUUUUGGUAAGCAGAACUGGUGAUGUGGGAUGAACCGAAAGUCCAGCUAAGGUGCCCUACGCUUCGCCCAUUAGAUCCCCAAAAGGGUGUCAGUCGAUAUAGACAGCAGGACAGUGGCUACAGAAGUGGGAAUCCGCUCAGGAGUGUGUAACAACUUACCUGCUGAAUCGACUGGCCCCAAAAAUGGAUGGCGCUAGAGUGAGCGACCGAUGCAGGCCCGGUCGGGCGACAGGCUGCCUGAUUGCCAGUGAGGCGAUUUUCCGAUGUCCUGUCGAGUA
rnacentral:ncRNA from 1 species